rnacentral:rRNA from 1 species
AUGAACGCUGGCGGCGUGCUUAACACCUGCAAGUCGAACGCGAAAUGGAGACGGAAACCUUCGGGCGGAAGGCUUCAUUUCGAGUGGCGGACGGGUGAGUAACGCGUGGGUAACCUGCCUCAUACAGGGGGAUAACAGUUGGAAACGACUGUUAAUACCGCAUAAGACCACAGCACCGCAUGGUGCGGGGGUAAAAACUCCGGUGGUAUGAGAUGGACCCGCGUUCGAUUAGCCAGUUGGCGGGGUAACGGCCCACCAAAGCGACGAUCGAUAGCCGAUCUGAGAGGAUGACCGGCCACAUUGGGACUGAGACACGGCCCAAACUCCUACGGGAGGCAGCAGUGGGGAAUAUUGCACAAUGGGGGAAACCCUGAUGCAGCGACGCCGCGUGAGUGAAGAAGUACUUCGGUAUGUAAAGCUCUAUCAGCAGGGAAGAAAAUGACGGUACCUGAGUAAGAAGCCCCGGCUAACUACGUG